rnacentral:rRNA from 1 species
AGAGUUUGAUCAUGGCUCAGAUUGAACGCUGGCGGCAUGCCUUACACAUGCAAGUCGAACGGCAGCGCGGACUUCGGUCUGGCGGCGAGUGGCGAACGGGUGAGUAAUACAUCGGAACGUACCCUGUUGUGGGGGAUAACUAGUCGAAAGAUUAGCUAAUACCGCAUACGACCUGAGGGUGAAAGUGGGGGACCGCAAGGCCUCACGCAGCAGGAGCGGCCGAUGUCUGAUUAGCUAGUUGGUGGGGUAAAGGCCCACCAAGGCGACGAUCAGUAGCUGGUCUGAGAGGACGAUCAGCCACACUGGGACUGAGACACGGCCCAGACUCCUACGGGAGGCAGCAGGUGGGGUAAUUUUGGACAAUGGGGGCAACCCUGAUCCAGCAAUGCCGCGUGUGUGAAGAAGGCCUUCGGGUUGUAAAGCACUUUUGUCCGGAAAGAAAUCGCGCUGGUUAAUACCUGGCGUGGAUGACGGUACCGGAAGAAUAAGCACCGGCUAACUACGUG